AUGACUUGUAAAGAAGUUUUGAGUAUACUUUCAGAGAAACACCAGCAAAAGUUGAAGUCAUUUGGGAAGAAACAAGUCUGGAAGAAAAUACGCCACAGACGCACACCAAGAGGUGGAACUUCAAGAGCACUUCUGGAUUGGAACCCAGGCUGUGGGACCCAUUCAUUGGAAUCAAGUGAUACUAUUACACACUGGCUAAAUGCUGUAUCAAUUACAGAGUGAUUUUGAAUUCUUUAAUCUGAGUUUCCUUGAUUGUAAAGAAGGUAACUGAGACCAACAUCAAUGAGGCUUGAAAGAGAUCAUGUAAAUAGGACCCAAGACACCAGGGGCAUCCAGACUAGGGUAAGUACUGCUUAUUUUAAUUCAUAUGCUCAUAUUGUCCUAUCAGAUUUCUAAGAAAAUUCCAAUAAAAUCAUGAAGCUCCUAGAGUGUCCACAAAAAGAAAUUUAUAUGUGUAGUGAACAAAUUGUAGGCUUUAAAAUAUGUAUCUUUUAGAACCGCUCCUUGAUCUCAGAAG
rnacentral:lncRNA from 1 species